CCCUUAGAUGUUCUGGGCCGCACGCGCGCUACACUGAUGCAUUCAACGAGUCCAACCUUGACCGAGAGGUCCGGGUAAUCUUUGAAACUGCAUCGUGAUGGGGCUAGAUUAUUGCAAUUAUUAAUCUUCAACGAGGAAUGCCUAGUAAGCGUGAUUCAUCAAAUCGCGUUGAUUACGUCCCUGCCCUUUGUACACACCGCCCGUCGCUCCUACCGAUUGAGUGUGUUGGUGAGGAGUUUGGAUUGGCCUCGGAAGGUGGUUCGCCACCGUCCGUAGCUGAGAAGUUCUCCAAACCGCCCCACUUAGAGGAAGGAGAGGUCGUAACA
rnacentral:rRNA from 1 species